GAUAUCUGCUGGAAUGCUUUAUGCGUAAAAUCGAUUUGUCUGCCCAAGGAUGGGUCUGCGGCCUAUCAGGUAGUAGUGGGUGUAAUGUACCUACUAGCCUACGACGGGUACGGGUUGUGAGAGCAAGAGCCCGGAGAUGGAUUCUGAGACAUGAAUCCAGGCCCUACGGGGCGCAGCAGGCGCGAAAACUUUACAAUGCGGGAAACCGUGAUAAGGGGACACCGAGUGCCAGCAUCAUAUGUUGGCUGUCCAGAUGUGUGAAAUACAUCUGUUAGCAAGGGCCGGGCAAGACCGGUGCCAGCCGCCGCGGUAACACCGGCGGCCCGAGUGGUGAUCGUGAUUAUUGGGUCUAAAGGGUCCGUAGCCGGUUUGGUCAGUCCUCCGGGAAAUCUGACGGCUCAACCGUUAGGCUUUCGGUGGAUACUGCCAGACUUGGAACCGGGAGAGGUAAGAGGUACUACAGGGGUAGGAGUGAAAUCUUGUAAUCCCUGUGAGACCACCUGUGGCGAAGGCGUCUUACCAGAACGGGUUCGACGGUGAGGGACGAAAGCUGGGGGCACGAACCGGAUUAGAUACCCGGGUAGUCCCAGCCGUAAACGAUGCUCGCUAGGUGUCAGGCAUGGCGCGACCGUGUCUGGUGCCGCAGGGAAGCCGUGAAGCGAGCCACCUGGGAAGUACGGCCGCAAGGCUGAAACUUAA
rnacentral:rRNA from 1 species